rnacentral:rRNA from 1 species
AUUGAACGCUGGCGGUAGGCCUAACACAUGCAAGUCGAACGGCAGCACAGUAAGAGCUUGCUCUUACGGGUGGCGAGUGGCGGACGGGUGAGGAAUACAUCGGAAUCUACUUUUUCGUGGGGGAUAACGUAGGGAAACUUACGCUAAUACCGCAUACGACCUACGGGUGAAAGCAGGGGAUCUUCGGACCUUGCGCGAUUGAAUGAGCCGAUGUCGGAUUAGCUAGUUGGCGGGGUAAAGGCCCACCAAGGCGACGAACCGUAGCUGGUCUGAGAGGAUGACCAGCCACACUGGAACUGAGACACGGUCCAGACUCCUACGGGAGGCAGCAGUGGGGAAUAUUGGACAAUGGGCGCAAGCCUGAUCCAGCCAUACCGCGUGGGUGAAGAAGGCCUUCGGGUUGUAAAGCACUUUUGUUGGGAAAGAAAAGCAGCAGGUUAAUACCCCGCUGUUCUGACGGUACCCAAAGAAUAAGCACCGGCUAACUUCGUG